rnacentral:rRNA from 1 species
GAGUUUGAUCCUGGCUCAGAACGAACGCUGGCGGCGUGCCUAACACAUGCAAGUCGAACGUGAUUAGAGAGCUUGCUCUUUAUGAAAGUGGCGCACGGGUGAGUAACGCGUAGAUAAUCUACCUGAUGAUCCGGGAUAACACUUCGAAAGGGGUGCUAAUACCUGAUAAGCUCACGGAGUCUUCGGACUCUGCGGGAAAAGGGGGGGACCUUUAUCGGCCUUCCGUCAUCAGAUGAGUYUGCGUACCAUUAGCUAGUUGGUAGGGUAAAGGCCUACCAAGGCGACGAUGGUUAGCUGGUCUGAGAGGAUGAUCAGCCACACUGGAACUGAGACACGGUCCAGACUCCUACGGGAGGCAGCAGUGGGGAAUUUUGCGCAAUGGGGGAAACCCUGACGCAGCAACGCCGCGUGAGUGAUGAAGGCCCUUGGGUCGUAAAGCUCUGACAGAGGGAAAGAAGUGUAGAGUGGCUAAUAUCCACAUUACUUGACGGUACCCUCAAAKGAAGCACCGGCUAACUCCGUGCCAGCAGCCGCGGUAAUWCAAGSRCGCAUUGGACACASUCCGUCCAGAGMGGCCUYCMCWGGCYGUKUUUCRCCAAUGAAACAGCAGGCGGAUGAGCUGGGSYCCC